CUAAAUAUAUAUAGAUACGCCACUCCGCUGUUGGGGCUGGCGACACUACCGCCACGCCAAAAUUACACCUGGUGGCAAUUCACAGGUACUAACCUACCCUUUGGAAAUGUUUGGAAAAAAAAUCCUCCCCAGUUUCAGUUCAAUGCUCACUGGGUAUAUCCAAGCAACUUUCGACUAGCAACUGCUGUUUCCAAGAAAUGUCAAAACAUUACAUUGCAAAUGUUUGAUCGCGUUAGAAAAAAUCUAGUCCGCUAUUGAUUAGGCAACGUCGAAACAGGUUCGCUGUGACAACACAUGGAUUAAUAUUUAACAUGCUUUGCUCUUGUUAAAUAUAUUUAUAAGGCAGCCUCGUGAUUUCCCGGAAAGAUGACCAUGGUGACGGUGAAAACGGAACUUCGUUGGAUUCGGAAGCAGUAAACCGCUUUCCACUAUGCCUGAACGGACACAAACCAGUACAGCGUUCUCGACAACUAAAAAGCUGAUCUCCAUCAUGGAAGCUUCUCCUACGGUUCUCCUUAGGCCCGUUUUGAAAAAGUGUAUAAAGUCAUACGUGUUAUGUUCCAGCAUUACAGCACAAUGAAGAUAACUGUAUAAUUAGAAUUUGAGAAAAUAAAAAAAAAUAAACACGCUUUAUUAUCAUUA